CAGACUAGCAAUCUGAUAUUUGUUUUUGCAAUGAACAUAACCAUGAGUUUUGCCUAUGUGUAUGUAUUAGUGCUUCUGAUGUGCUGUCAAGAAUCGAGGGGACAGAUUACAGUCACACAGACCCCAGCAGUGAAAGCUGUUCAGCACGGAGAGACAGUCAUCUUAAACUGCAAAACCAGCAGUAAUGUAUACACAGGAUGGGGAUUCCCCGCAUUAGCCUGGUACCAUCAGAACCCUGGAGCUGCUCCUAGACUCCUAGUCCACAAAGCAACAACUCUCUUCUCUGGGACACCAUCCAGAUUCAGUGCCAGUGGAUCUGAUAGGGACUUCAGUUUAACUAUCAGUGGAGUCCAGGCUGAAGAUGUAGGAGAUUACUACUGUCAGAGUUUCCACUACCCCAACAGUGUGUACGUGUACACUUUUGGAAGCGGCACGAAGCUUGACGUUGAAAGUAACACCAGCCCCAAACUGACAGUCUUGCCCCCGUCAAGCGAAGAGCUCUCCAGCAAGAGUACUGCCACGCUGGUGUGCCUGGCCAACGGAGGCUUCCCGUCAGACUGGGCUCUCAGCUGGAAGGUGGAUGGGAACAGCAGACCUGGGGUGGCCAGUCGCUGGGGUCCAGAGAAGAACGGCCUGUACAGCUGGAGCAGCACCCUGACCAUGCCUUCUCAGGAGUGGACCAAGGCUGCCUCAGUGACCUGUGAGGCCAAACAGGGCUCCCAGUCUCCAGUCACCAAGGUUAUAAAGAGAGGCGAAUGCUCUGACUAGAGUAGCCUACUUCCAUUUUCUACAGUCUGGGUGACUGAUUAUAGUAUUUGUCUUAUUUUUGUAUCGUUCAUGUGCUCACUGUACUGUGUUUGCUGUCUUCAUUGACAUACAUCCACAGCCUUUACUGUUAUCUACUUGUUCUGCUUGAUCAAUGAGAAAAUGUUCUUGUGCCAUUUCUGUUGCAAAAUUUGACAUGGAAAAAAUAAAAGCUUUCUACUGAA